rnacentral:rRNA from 1 species
GCUUACGGCCAUACCAGCCUGGGUACGCCCGAUCUCGUCUGAUCUCGGAAGCUAAGCAGGGUCUGGCCUGGUUAGUACUUGGAUGGGAGACCGCCUGGGAAUACCAGGUGCUGUAAGCA